rnacentral:rRNA from 1 species
CGAGCGAAGUAUCACAAAUCUGCUACAAUGGUCGGGACAAAGGGUCGCGAUCCCGUGAGGGUGAGCUAACCCAAACAACCUGUCCUCAGUUCGGAUUGCAGGCUGCAACUCGCCUACAUGAAGCCAAAAUCGCUAGUAAUCGCCUGUUAGCCAUACAACGAUGAAUUCG